rnacentral:rRNA from 1 species
GACGAACGCUGGCGGCGUGCUUAACACAUGCAAGUCGAGCGGUAAGGCCCUUUCGGGGGUACACGAGCGGCGAAACGGGUGAGUAACACGUGGGUGACCUGCCCUCAGCUCCGGGAUAAGGCCUGGGAAACCGGGUCUAAUACCGGAUAUGACUCCAUGACGCAUGUUGUGGGGUGGAAAGCCUUGUGCGGCUGAGGAUGGGCCCGCGGCCUAUCAGCUUGUUGGUGGGGUGAUGGCCCUACCAAGGCGACGACGGGUAGCCGGCCUGAGAGGGCGACCGGCC